rnacentral:lncRNA from 1 species
GGCAGGUAGAAAUUAGUUUCCCUCUGCAAGGAGUAUUAUAUUUUUAUGAGGUUUAUUAAAGGUUAAGGAUUAAAGAAAAUACAGAAUAAGAAAGCACAUGUCUAGGCCCAGAGAGGCCUAGACAACCUCACUUACAUCAUGAAAGAGACACGUCUGCUGGGAAGCGGAAGUAGGAAAGAGCGCACGCAGCCUUUACAACCAGGUUAAAUACCCCAUCUCGAUCUUGGCCCAGGUGAGAUUACAAGGCAUUUUAGGAAGUGAGCAAGGACUUCUGGGGAAUGGAGUCCAGAGUUCAAAUCUCCAUUUUUACAGUUAUGAAGGAAUUCUGUCACCCUGUUAUCAAGGUAUUCUGUCAUAAUUGUAGCCUUCACCCUGGAAUUCCAGUUAGCAGGAUUCUUAUCUUUUAUGGUGGCUUUCAGUAACUUCAGUGGGGGAGGGAUGUUGGAGAUUGAGCUUCCCUGUCCUUUUAAGGCUUCUUAUCUGAACUAUUGAUAGACUAGAUUAAUCUGCAUGUAUGUACCCUGAAGUCAAAACUUCAAGAAGCAGAGGCCAAAAAUGGAGAAUGUUGUCUGUGACCAGGCUGCCCUCCCUAUGUGCCUCUCCUACAGCUGCCUCCCUGACAGCUGUGACUAGAGACCUGGCCCAGCUGUGGCAGCAAGGCACUCCUGCUGGGCUGGAGCCCUCACCUCAAGAUUCCAGUGACCAUCAGAGACUCAGCAGACAGAGAGGUGUCUGGCGUCAGCUUGCUGAGUGUCUUGGCAUCUUGGAGUGGCAGCAGCUAUUGUCUGGUUUAGUGGCUACCUGAAGGCUAUUUUAAGUUUUGUUAUGAGUGGCUUAAAAGUCAACAGGAGUUAAUCACUGAAGGGUACUUUCAUCGAAUAUGGUUAUCCAGGCUUGUCUAUGG